ensembl:rRNA 5S_rRNA 5S ribosomal RNA
GUCUACAUCUAUACCAUCCUGAACAUGCCUAAUCGCGUCUGAUUUCAGAAGCUAAGCAGGGUCAGGCCUGCUUAAUAUUAUACUUGGAAGUGAGAAUGGGGAAUAGAUAGAUGCAGGAC